GAUGAACGCUGGCGGCGUGCCUAAUACAUGCAAGUCGAGCGAACGGACGAGAAGCUUGCUUUUCUGAUGUUAGCGGCGGACGGGUGAGUAACACGUGGAUAACCUACCUAUAAGACUGGGAUAACUUCGGGAAACCGGAGCUAAUACCGGAUAAUAUUUUGAACCGCAUGGUUCAAAAGUGAAAGACGGUCUUGCUGUCACUUAUAGAUGGAUCCGCGCUGCAUUAGCUAGUUGGUAAGGUAACGGCUUACCAAGGCAACGAUGCAUAGCCGACCUGAGAGGGUGAUCGGCCACACUGGAACUGAGACACGGUCCAGACUCCUACGGGAGGCAGCAGUAGGGAAUCUUCCGCAAUGGGCGAAAGCCUGACGGAGCAACGCCGCGUCAGUGAUGAAGGUCUUCGGAUCGUAAAACUCUGUUAUUAGGGAAGAACAUAUGUGUAAGUAACUGUGCACAUCUUGACGGUACCUAAUCAGAAAGCCACGGCUAACUACGUG
rnacentral:rRNA from 1 species